rnacentral:rRNA from 1 species
AAUACCGCAUAACCAUAGUUACCGCAUGGUAACUAUGUAAAAGGUGGCUAUGCUACCGCUUUUGGAUGGGCCCGCGGCGCAUUAGCUAGUUGGUGGGGUAAAGGCGUACCAAGGCAAUGAUGCGUAGCCGAACUGAGAGGUUGAUCGGCCACAUUGGGACUGAGAUACGGCCCAAACUCCUACGGGAGGCAGCAGUAGGGAAUCUUCCACAAUGGGCGAAAGCCUGAUGGAGCAACGCCGCGUGGGUGAAGAAGGUCUUCGGAUCGUAAAACCCUGUUGUUAGAGAAGAAAGUGCGUGAGAGUAACUGUUCACGUUUCGACGGUAUCUAACCAGAAAGCCACGGCUAACUACGUGCCAGCAGCCGCGGUAAUACGUAGGUGGCAAGCGUUAUCCGGAUUUAUUGGGCGUAAAGGGAACGCAGGCGGUCUUUUAAGUCUGAUGUGAAAGCCUUCGGCUUAACCGGAGCAGUGCAUUGGAAACUGGGAGACUUGAGUGCAGAAGAGGAGAGUGGAACUCCAUGUGUAGCGGUGAAAUGCGUAGAUAUAUGGAAGAACACCAGUGGCGAAAGCGGCUCUCUGGUCUGUAACUGACGCUGAGGUUCGAAAGCGUGGGUAGCAAACAGGAUUAGAUACCCUGGUAGUCCACGCCGUAAACGAUGAAUGCUAAGUGUUGGAGAGUUUCCGCCCUUCAGUGCUGCAGC